UACAGAGGGUGCGAGCGUUAAUCGGAAUUACUGGGCGUAAAGCGCGUGUAGGCGGCCCUGCAAGUCGGAUGUGAAAUCCCACGGCUCAACCGUGGAAGUGCAUUCGAAACUGCAGGGCUAGAGUCCUGGAGAGGAAGGUGGAAUGCUUGGUGUAGAGGUGAAAUUCGUAGAUAUCAAGCGGAACACCGGUGGCGAAGGCGGCCUUCUGGACAGUGACUGACGCUGAGACGCGAAAGCGUGGGGAGCAAACAGG
rnacentral:rRNA from 1 species